AAAGAGGUGUGGCCUAUGUACUUAUCAGUCCCAGUGAAAGAGGUGUGGCCUAUGUACCUGUAAGUACCAGCGAAGAAGGUGUGGCCUCUGUACUUAUCAGUCCCAGUGAAAGAGGUGUGGCCUAUGUACCUGUAAGUACCAGUGAAGAAGGUGUGGCCUAUGUACUUAUCAGUCCAAGUGAAGGAGGCUUGUCCUCUGAACCUGUCAGUCCCAGUGAAAGAGGUGUGGCCUAUGUACCUGUAAGUACCAGUGAAGGAGGUGUGGCCUCUGUACUUAUCAGUCCCAGUGAAAGAGGUGUGGCCUAUGUACCUGUAAGUACCAGUGAAGGAGGUGUGGCCUCUGUACUUAUCAGUCCCAGUGAAAGAGGUGUGGCCUAUGUACCUGUAAGUACCAGUGAAGAAGGUGUGGCCUAUGUACUUAUCAGUCCCAGUGAAAGAGGUGUGGCCUAUGUACCUGUAAGUACCAGCGAAGAAGGUGUGGCCUCUGUACUUAGGAAGUGUGUCCUCUGAACCUGUCAGUCCUAUUGAAGGAGGCGUGGCCUUUUUGACUGCCAUUGACUUGGAAGUAUUUAUUAAGUGUAUGUACUUUUUCCUUUGAGCCAGUUGUUAAAUUUCUUUUGUAUAUAACAUUAGACUGAAUCGUGUUACCUUAAAAUAAAGGGUUUUGAACAUAGUCACAUGCUCGUCAACUAAAUCUUAGCAGUCUGUAUU
ensembl:lncRNA